GCGGAACUGCCGGGACCAGCGCUGGCCCGGGCCGGGCGCAUCCCCACCUGGCCUGGGGCGGGCUGGAGGGGCGGAACUGGGACUCUCGGACUCCGGCUACGUUGGAGAAAGGGUUGGCUGUACCCUGGAGAAGAGGAGAGACUCAAAGGUAGGAGGUGGGCGUCCUCGCAUUGACCCAGUCGGGGGCCACCGAGUGACGGUUUCCGCAGUGGCGGGGUCUGGGAAGAAGCCACGAAGCGAACCGUCCACUUCGCGGGAUCCACAGCGAGGCUGGAAGGCACCCGACCCAGCCUUGCCAAGAGAAAAAAAAAAAACAGCAAUAACAAUACUGUAUUUCCUGUAUUCAGUGGUUGCCUUUCUUCUUGGUUGUGAUUUUCGAGCUAAUGUAAAAAUAAAGACAUGAAAACUUCCCGUUUUGUUAAUUGAUUUUUGACCCAGUGACUGGCCUGUGCGGUCAUUUCACUGUCGAGCCA
rnacentral:lncRNA from 1 species